rnacentral:rRNA from 1 species
UACGAAGGGGGCUAGCGUUGUUCGGAUUUACUGGGCGUAAAGCGCACGUAGGCGGACUUUUAAGUCAGGGGUGAAAUCCCGGGGCUCAACCCCGGAACUGCCUUUGAUACUGGAAGUCUUGAGUAUGGUAGAGGUGAGUGGAAUUCCGAGUGUAGAGGUGAAAUUCGUAGAUAUUCGGAGGAACACCAGUGGCGAAGGCGGCUCACUGGACCAUUACUGACGCUGAGGUGCGAAAGCGUGGGGAGCAAACAGGAUUAGAAACCUUGUAGUCC